UUACGACCACAUCACGUUGAAACUCUGGUUCCAGUACGAUCACUGGAGUUAAACAACACAGAGCCUGGUAAGUAUUUAGAUGGGUGACCGAUUAAGAAUACCAGGUAUUGUAAG